GUCUGGGUGGAUAAUAUACUAAGUCUGACCUGCCCACUGAAAUUGUUUAAAGGGCUGCGGUAAUUUGACCGUGCGAAGGUAGCAUAAUCAAUAGUCUCUUAAUUGGAGGCUGGAAUGAACGGUCUAACAGGAAAAUAGCUGUCUCAGGGAGUUUAUACGAAUUUAACUUCUGUGUGAAAAGGCACAGAUAAUUUAGGGGGACGAUAAGACCCUAUAAAACUUAAUACAAGAAAGUUACAUUUAAGAAAUAGUUAGUAAAUUAAAAGAAAUUGAAUGUAUUGUGCUGGGGUGGCAAAGAUAAAAUAUUUAACUGUCUUUAAAAUUAAAUAAUGGUAAUUAGAUAGUGAUCCCUUACUAGGGAUUAUAAGAUUAAGUUACUUUAGGGAUAACAGCGUGAUUUCUUUUGAGAGUCCUUAUCGACAAAGUUAGUUGCGACCUCGAUGUUGAAUUAAAGUUUCCUCUAGGAGUAGGUAUUUAGAUGGUAGGUCUGUUCGACCUUUAAUAACUUUACAUGAUUUGAGUUCAAACCGGUGUGAG
rnacentral:rRNA from 1 species